GGCCGAUUAGCUCAAUUGGUAGAGCAGCAGACUCUUAAUCUGUUUGUUCUGGGUUCGAGUCCCAGAUCGGUCACCA
rnacentral:tRNA from 1 species